UACGUAGGGCGCAAGCGUUGUCCGGAAUUAUUGGGCGUAAAGAGCUCGUAGGCGGUUUUGUCGCGUCUGCUGUGAAAUCCCCGAGGCUCAACCUCGGGCUUGCAGUGGGGUACGGGCAGACUAGAGUGCGGUAGGGGGAGACUGGAAUUCCUGGUGUAGCGGUGGAAUGCGCAGAUAUCAGGAGGAACACCGGUGGCGAAGGGCGGGGUCUCUG
rnacentral:rRNA from 1 species